UUGCAAUGAUGUGACACUCUCACUGAAUUAAACCUUGAAGUACAAGUCAGGAGCUUUUUAACCCUGAGCAGU
rnacentral:snoRNA from 1 species